CCUACGGGAGGCAGCAGUGGGGAAUAUUGCACAAUGGGGGGAACCCUGAUGCAGCAACGCCGCGUGGGUGAAGAAGUACUCCGGUAUGUAAAGCCCUGUCAGCAGGGAAGAAAAUGACGGUACCUGACCAAGAAGCCCCGGCUAACUACGUGCCAGCAGCCGCUGUAAUACGUAGGGGGCAAGCGUUAUCCGGAUUCACUGGGUGUAAAGGGAGCGUAGACGGCCGUGCAAGCCAGGAGUGAAAGCCCGGGGCCCAACCCCGGGACUGCUCUUGGAACUGUGCGGCUGGAGUGCGGGAGGGGCAGGCGGAAGUCCUGGUGUAGUGGUGAAAUGCGUAGAUAUCAGGAGGAACACCGGCGGGGAAGGCGGCCUGCUGGACCGCGACUGACGUUGAGGCUCGAAAGCGUGGGGAGCGAACAGGAUUAGAUACCCCUGUAGUC
rnacentral:rRNA from 1 species